AUUGAACGCUAGCGACAUGCCUUACACAUGCAAGUCGAACGGCAGCGGGGGAGCUUGCUCCCGCCGGCGAGUGGCGAACGGGUGAGUAAUACAUCGGAACGUACCCAGUAGCGGGGGAUAGCCCGGCGAAAGCCGGAUUAAUACCGCAUACGCCCUACGGGGGAAAGGGGGGGAUCGCAAGACCUCUCACUAUUGGAGCGGCCGAUGGCUGAUUAGCUAGUUGGUGGGGUAAAGGCCUACCAAGGCGACGAUCAGUAGCUGGUCUGAGAGGACGACCAGCCACACUGGGACUGAGACACGGCCCAGACUCCUACGGGAGGCAGCAGUGGGGAAUUUUGGACAAUGGGCGAAAGCCUGAUCCAGCAAUGCCGCGUGUGCGAAGAAGGCCUUCGGGUUGUAAAGCACUUUUGUCAGGGAAGAAAUCGUUUGGGUUAAUACCCCGAGCAGUUGACGGUACCUGAAGAAUAAGCACCGGCUAACUACGUGCCAGCCGCCGCCGUAA
rnacentral:rRNA from 1 species